GGAGGAUCGGGGUGGGCGGCAGCAGCUGAGGUGAGGGUGGUGUGUGGGCUGUCGUACCUGGACGUGGAGGUGGUGACUGCAGCAGCGGUUCCGGAAGUUCUGUGGCCGGCGGAGGCGGAUGUGACGUCAUCGAUGUGGAAGCAGCCAUUUUCAUCUCUACUGGGCACAUGUUAUUUCAGCAUAAUGGGAGGGAACAGCAGUCACUACUCAUUUGCGAACACAGCCCAGACAUACCAUCUACGUGCCAGCCAAGAAGAGGAAAUUUGGCAUGUUUAUAGGGUCCCCCACCAACUCCAACAGAUGUACUAUUGAAAGCAUAUAGUCUGGGUGCACAAUGGCCUGGAAUGGCAAAUGCUCUGCCCAGGACCAUAAGAAAGCACAGAAGAUUGUGUGAACAGCCCGGAUCAUCAUGGAAGCCAACAUUCCAUCCAUGGACUCUGUUUACAUGGCCUGCUGCCACGGAAAGGCUGCCAAUAUCAUCAAAGACCCAUGACACCCUGGUAGUGACCUCCUACAGCCUUUUUUGACAGGCAGAAGAUACAGAAGUCUGAACACACGCAAAAGCAGAUUCAGGAACAGUUUCUUUCUGGACAUUAUCAGACUGUUGAAUGGUCUCUAGCCUGAAAUAAUGUAACCUGCAUGCCUCUAAGUCUCUUUAACCUGUGUAUCCUUUGCUUGCUGUUAUUUACCUGUUCUGCUCAUAAACAAAGCUUUUUACUGUAUAAUUGUACACAUGACAAUAAAAUCAAUCAAAGUAAUAA